GCUGGGCAUGGUGAUGCAUGCCUGUAGUACCAGCUACUUGGAAGGGUGAGGUGGGAGGAUUGCUUGAGCCCGGGAGGUUGGGGCUGCAGUGAGCUGAGGUAGCACCACUGCACUCCAGCCUGGGUGACAGAGCAAGACCCUGUCUCAA
rnacentral:SRP_RNA from 2 species